CAUCAAUGAUUCCUGUUUGAGUUAUGUUGAAAAUUAAUUAUUGACUUUAUUUUAAAAAAAUAACUAAGAGAUGAGAGAUUACAUUUGGAUUCAUCUGAAUGUGUUUGUUUCAGGAAGAGAUUGCACAUUAGAACCUGACCGGUGAGCUUUUCAAACUGUGUCUCUUCAUCGCUAUUAGACAAAACAGAAACAGUAAUUUCCAUAUUGUCUAAAACUGGUGCCUGUUGAAACUGUUUACUUGUAGACUUACUGUAAAAAGGCGACCAAGUUAUUGGAAAUGAUUAAUUGUGUUUGACUGAUGCACUUCCUGUACCGGCUCUCUCGUGCUCAACUUAACUUCCUGUUUACAGCUCCAACAUCCCACAAACCCCUGCUGCUCUAAUAGGAAAUGCUACACACCACAGGCCUGAGGCCUGCAGCCAGCUGAGGUGAACUGUCAUGUUUCUAUGACGGGAAGAGGACCAUGCUUGAAUGCUGAAACAGUUCACAGGAUCCUUUGUCUUCCAGACGAGGGGAAUCUGAAUGAUAAAGAAAAUGGAGAAGCUUCUCAUUGCUGGAAAAGGAUUUAGAUAAAUAGUGGAUGACAGUGAAACAUCUCCAGAAAGAUCUUGAAAAACAUAAUCACCAGAUCAAACCACAGACGUACUGACUGACAGAUUGCACCAAUCUGCCCGGCAACACUGAAGAACACAAACUGCUGACUCAUUUAAUAGCGCACAAAAACCACUUGCUCAGGGCUUUCUGUUUUUUUGUUUUUGGCCUUUAUGGCUUUCAUUGACGCGACAGUUCAGAGAGCUGACAGGAAGCGGGACGAGAGAGGAGG